AGUGAACGCUGGCGGCGGGCCUAACACAUGCAAGUCGAACGGCAGCACAGUAAGAGUUCUCUCUUACGGGUGGCGAGGGGCGGACGGGUGAGGAGUGCAUCGCAAUCUUCUUUUUCUGGGGGGAUUACGUGGGGAAACUUACGCUAAUACCGCAUACGACCAACGGGUUAAAGCAGUAGUUCUUCGCACCUUUCGUGACUCAUUUAGCCGAUGUCGGAUUAGCUAGUUGACGAGGUAAAGUCCCACCAAGGCAACGAUGCGUAGCGGGUCUGAGAGGAUGAUCAGCCACACUGGAACUGAGACACGGUCCAGACUCCUACGGGAGGCAGCAGUGGGGAAUAUUGGACAAUGGGCGCAAGCCUGAUCGAGCAACGCCGCGUGAGUGAAGAAGGCCUUCGGGUUGUAAAGCCCUUUUGUUGGGAAAGAAAAGCAGCGUGUUAAUCCAUCGAUGUUCUGACGGUACCCAAAGAAUAAGCACCGGCUAACUUCGUG
rnacentral:rRNA from 1 species